GAGUUUGAUCGUGGCUCAGCCUGAACGCUGGCGGCGUGGCUAAGACAUGCAAGUCGAACGGUGUAGCAAUACAUGCUGACGAGCGGCGGACGGGUGAGUAACGCUUGGGAAUCUGCCUAUUAGUGGGGGACAACCCGGGGAAACUCGGGCUAAUACCGCAUACGCACUACGGUGGAAAGCCGGGGACCGCAAGGCCUGGCGCUAAUAGAUGAGCCCAAGUCGGAUUAGCUAGUUGGUAGGGUAAUGGCCUACCAAGGCUACGAUCCGUAACUGGUCUGAGAGGACGACCAGUCACACCGGAACUGAGACACGGUCCGGACUCCUACGGGAGGCAGCAGUGGGGAAUAUUGGACAAUGGGCGAAAGCCUGAUCCAGCGACGCCGCGUGGGUGAAGAAGGCCUGCGGGUUGUAAAGCCCUUUCGGUAGGGAAGAAAAGCCUCGACCUAACACGUCGGGGUAUUGACGUAACCUACUAAAGAAGCACCGGCUAACUCUGUGCCAGCCGCCGCUGUAAC
rnacentral:rRNA from 2 species